rnacentral:rRNA from 1 species
GACGAACGCUGGCGGCGUGCUUAACACAUGCAAGUCGAACGAUGAAGCCCAGCUUGCUGGGUGGAUUAGUGGCGAACGUGUGAGUAACACGUGGGCAACCUGCCCCGAACUCUGGGAUAACUCCUCGAAAGAGGUGCUAAUACCGGAUACGAACUAGACAGACAUCUGUACUAGUUGGAAAGUUUUUCGGUUUGGGAUGGGCCCGCGGCCUAUCAGCUUGUUGGUGAGGUUACGGCUCACCAAGGCUACGACGGGUAACCGGCCUGGGAGGGCGAGCGGUCACACGGGGACUGAGACACGGCCCAGACUCCUACGGGAGGCAGAAGUGGGGAAUAUUGCGCACUGGGCGAAAGCCUGACGCAGCGACGCCGCGUGAGGGAUGAAGGUCUUCGGAUCGUAAACCUCUUUCAGUAGGGACGAAGCGAAAGUGACGGUACCUAAAGAAGAAGCACCGGCUAACUACGUGCCAGCCGCCGCCGUAA